GAUGAAGAACGUAGCGAAAUGCGAUAAGUAAUGUGAAUUGCAGAAUUCAGUGAAUCAUCGAAUCUUUGAACGCACAUUGCGCCCGCUGGUAUUCCGGCGGGCAUGCCUGUUCGAGCGUCAUUUCAACCCUCAAGCUCUCCGGAGUUUGGUGUUGGGGAUCGGCGAGCCUCCGCGCCCGCCGUCCCCUAAAUCUAGUGGCGGUCUCGCUGUAGCUUCCUCUGCGUAGUAGCACACCUCGCACUGGGAAACAGCGCGGCCACGCCGUUAAACCCCCAACUUCUGAACGUUUGACCUCGGAUCAGGUAGGAAUACCCGCUGAACUUAAGCAUAUCAAUAAGCGGAGGA
rnacentral:misc_RNA from 1 species